GUAACGAAUCUUCCGCAAUGGGCGCAAGCCUGACGGAGCAAUGCCGCGUGCGGGAUGAAGUAUCUCUGGUAUGUAAACCGCUGUCAGGGGACGGAAACAAUGAUUGUCCCCAGAGGAAGUGGCGACUAACUCUGUGCCAGCAGUCGCGGUAAUACAGAGGCCACGAGCAUUAGUCGGAAUCACUGGGCUUAAAGGGUGCGUAGGUGGCUUGCCAAGUGCUUUGUGAAAUCCCACGGCUCAACCGUGGAACAGCAGGGCAUACUGGCAGGCUUGAGGCAAGUAGGGGCUGACGGAACAGUAGGUGGAGCGGUGAAAUGCGUAGAUAUCUACUGGAACGCCGAUGGUGAAGACGGUCAGCUGGGCUUGUCCUGACACUGAGGCACGAAAGCGUGGGGAGCAAACAGGAUUAGAAACCCGAGUAGUCC
rnacentral:rRNA from 1 species